GUAAGGAAUAUUGGUCAAUGGACGAAAGUCUGAACCAGCCAUGCCGCGUGAAGGAUGAAGGCCCUCUGGGUUGUAAACUUCUUUUAUCUGGGACGAAAAAAGGGUAUUCUUACUCACUUGACGGUACCAGAGGAAUAAGCACCGGCUAACUCCGUGCCAGCAGCCGCGGUAAUACGGAGGGUGCAAGCGUUAUCCGGAUUCACUGGGUUUAAAGGGUGCGUAGGUGGGGAUUUAAGUCAGUGGUGAAAUCUCCGAGCUUAACUCGGAAACUGCCAUUGAUACUAUUUACCUUGAAUGCCCUGGAGGUAAGCGGAAUAUGUCAUGUAGCGGUGAAAUGCUUAGAUAUGACAUAGAACACCAAUUGCGAAGGCAGCUUACUACGGGGUGAUUGACACUGAGGCACGAAAGCGUGGGGAGCAAACAGGAUUAGAUACCCUAGUAGUCC
rnacentral:rRNA from 1 species